CUUAUCAAGAGUGGCGGAGGGACCGGCCCUGUGAAGCCCGGCAACCUGCAUGAGCAAGGUGCCAAAUCCGGCGGUGUUUAAUCGGAAGAUGAGG
rnacentral:ncRNA from 1 species